GCCUCUGUACCUCAGUGGCAGAGCGUGGUCUUGUAAACCGGGGUCGUGAGUUCAAUCCUCACAGGAUGCA